GACGUAGGCGGUUUAGUAAGUCGGAUGUAAAAUCUCCCGGCUCAACUGGGAGGGGUCAUUCGAAACUGCUAGACUAGAGGACAGCAGGGGGAAGUGGAAUUCCCGGUGUAGUGGUGAAAUGCGUAGAUAUCGGGAGGAACACCAGUGGCGAAAGCGGCUUCCUAGGCUGUUUCUGACGCUGAGGUCCGAAAGUGUGGGGAGCGAACAGGAUUAGAUACCCUGGUAGUCCACACUGUAAACAAUGGACACUAGGUAUAGGGAGUAUCGACCCUCUCUGUGCCGAAGCUAACGCUCUAAGUGUCCCGCCUGGGGACUACGGCCGCAAGGCUAAA
rnacentral:rRNA from 1 species